rnacentral:rRNA from 1 species
GCUUAACACAUGCAAGUCGAACGGGCGUAGCAAUACGUCAGUGGCAGACGGGUGAGUAACGCGUGGGAACGUACCUUUUGGUUCGGAACAACUGAGGGAAACUUCAGCUAAUACCGAAUAAGCCCUUACGGGGAAAGAUUUAUCGCCGAAAGAUCGGCCCGCGUCUGAUUAGCUUGUUGGUGAGGUAACGGCUCACCAAGGCGACGAUCAGUAGCUGGUCUGAGAGGAUGAUCAGCCACAUUGGGACUGAGACACGGCCCAAACUCCUACGGGAGGCAGCAGUGGGGAAUAUUGGACAAUGGGCGAAAGCCUGAUCCAGCCAUGCCGCGUGAGUGAUGAAGGCCCUAGGGUUGUAAAGCUCUUUUGUGCGGGAAGAUAAUGACGGUACCGCAAGAAUAAGCCCCGGCUAACUUCGUGCCAGCAGCCGCGGUAAUAC